CACGUAGGGUGCGAGCGUUGUCCGGAAUUAUUGGGCGUAAAGAGCUCGUAGGCGGUGUGUCGCGUCGGCCGUGAAAACCUGCAGCUUAACUGUGGGCUUGCGGUCGAUACGGGCAUCACUGGAGUUCGGCAGGGGAGACUGGAAUUCCUGGUGUAGCGGUGAAAUGCGCAGAUAUCAGGAGGAACACCGGUGGGCGAAAGG
rnacentral:rRNA from 1 species